rnacentral:rRNA from 1 species
AUGGACCAGACGGAAACCCUGCCCGACGACACGCUCGCCAACGUCCUCGGCCGCCUUCCGCCGUGCGACCUCGCCGCGUCCCGCUGCGUCCGCAGGACGUGGUGUGACGUCGUCGACGCGCACCGCCUCUUGCUGCCGCACCUGCUCCCGCACUCGCUGCACGGUAUCUUCAUCAACUAUGUUGACUACAGGCGCCCGCACUGCUUCGCGCGCCCCUCGGCGCAGAAGCCCGCGAUAGACUGCAACCUAGACUUCUUGCCGGGUUAUGCCCAUGAUUACAAGCCAAUCGCCGAUCACUGCAACGGUCUCUUGCUUUAUCGGGGUCGGACGGACUUGUUGUACGUGGCCAACCCUGCCACAAGGCAGUGGGAAGAUCUCUGCCGCAAGGGUGGCGACUACAAGUGGAACCCAUACCUUGUGUUCGACCCUGCAGUCUCACCCCACUAUGAGGUGUUUUCGAUCCCAUAUGUACCCGAGAAGGUGGACCUUGCACAAGAUUCCAUGGAAUGGCCACCAUCCUCAUGGAUGUUAGAUGUGUUCUCGUCUAGUACAAGGCAAUGGUGCAAGAGGUCUUUUCUCCGCCAAGGCGAGGCUAUGGGGACAGUGGCUAACGCUCGACUAGAUACACUGAGGCAAGUGUGGAGUGGUGCGAGGUGGCGAUAUAGUGUGUAUUGGCGAGGAUCACUUUAUGUUCAUUGUCGUGGUGCAUUCGUCGCCAGAUUAUCUUUGUCAGAUGGCAAGUACCAAGUAAUUAAAUUGCCAAAUAUUGCAGAAAGUGAACGGGAACGGUAUCUUGGGAAAUCAGAAAAGGGGGUGUACCUUGCAAUAAUGGCAGAUGAUACAGUACAUCGACUCUGGGUUUAUAACCUUGUUGAAUCAAGUGAACAAACAGAUUGGAUGUUGAAGUAUCAUGUCGAUCUUGAGCCAUGGGCAUCGGCAUGGUUGGACAACCUCAAGGGGUUUGACAAAACUUGGACCUUAGAUGGAGAAGGAGAUGUGAAAAAAGCGCAAGAAGAAGCACGGUGUAGUCUAGAAUAUGACGAUGAGGAUGAGGGCGAGGAUGAUGAUGGAGAAGAAGAAGAAAUGCUAAUGGGGGGUAAUCCGGAAUGGAACUCCGACAAUGAUAAUGUUCUGGAUCUUGAAGAUGAUAGGGGAGGCUUUUCUCAUUACAUUGACUUCCUUGGCUUUCACCCCUACAACGAAGUUGUUUUCUUGGGAUUAUCAUUUAAAGUAGUGGCUUAUCAUUUGAAAACCUCAAAGACCAUACCCACCGUCAAGGCUGACGUGGUCAGCUUGGUUAGCUCGCUGGACGAACUCCUAACGAACACCGCCAUGGAGGUGUCCAAGCAGGCGUCGUGGCCCGACGACUUCCUCUGCCCCAUCUCCCUCGAGGUCAUGAUAGACCCCGUCAUCCUCCCCUCUGGCUACACCUUCACCACUAUAGCAGUGAAAUUGCUGACGCAAAAGUCUUUAAAUCCACCCAACAUUUCUGAAAGAAAAUCAGCCGUGUCCCGCGAUCUCCACGCAUCCCUUCAUGAGGCCAAACACCUCUCUGUCUCUAGCCUUAUCCCUCGCAGGCAUGCAGCGAUGCACGUCCACACACGUUCUUCCAUCCCCACAGACGUUGACCAGUUCGUCCUGCCUAAUGGAUCUCGUCGACAUCUCUCUUCUACUCUGGCAGCUUCCUUGCCGCCGUCAUGCCUAAACCGGCUCGCGUGCGGCAUGCCCCUCUGCCACCAUUCCCUCCGCUCAAGCCGACGCGCGCCGAAAACCACCAUUAUGAGCUCAGCGACACCGCAGCACCACAGCGAGUCGCCGUUGCUGCCAUGGAGCAUCAGGAGAUCGUCAAUCGUUACAAUCACCGGACCGCUGGGAGCAUCAGUAGUGUUGCAAUGGAACAUCGUCGAGCCGUCGGAGCAUCGCCGGUGCUGCAAUGGGAUUUUGCAGGAUUACCUUUGCUGCGAGGAGUCGCUGGUGCUCCGAUUGAGCACAGCCAGGCUGCACACUACUGCCAUGGAGUUGCAAUGGAGCUCGCCGGGGCUGUCGGUGCUGCGACGGAGCUACGAUGGAGAAUCGCUGGGGCGCCGAUGCUGCGAUGGAGCAUCCUUGUGCCCCCGGUGCUGUGAUGGAGAGGUGCUUCAACCGGCGCUCCAACGAACAGGGCGAUGCACUGUUGGGUGGGGUAGUUGA